CAUGUAGGCGGGAAUACAAGUCAGAUGUGAAAUACUGUGGCUCAACUGCAGAAUGGCAUCUGAAACUGUAUUUCUUGAGUAUUGGAGAGGAAAGCGGAAUUCCUAGUGUAGCGGUGAAAUGCGUAGAUAUUAGGAGGAACACCGGUGGCGAAGGCGGCUUUCUGGACAAUUACUGACGCUGAGAUGCGAAAGCGUGGGGAGCAAACAGGAUUAGAUACCCUGGUAGUCC
rnacentral:rRNA from 1 species